rnacentral:rRNA from 1 species
GACGAACGCUGGCGGCGUGCCUAAUACAUGCAAGUCGGGCGGGGUUUUGGGGAGCUUGCUCCUUAAAACCCAGCGGCGGACGGGUGAGUAACACGUGGGCAACCUGCCCGCAAGACCGGGAUAACUCCGGGAAACCGGGGCUAAUACCGGAUAGGACUCCGGAUCGCAUGAUCCGGGGUGGAAAGGUGGCCUUCGGCUGCCGCUUGCGGAUGGGCCCGCGGCGCAUUAGCUAGUUGGUGAGGUAACGGCUCACCAAGGUGACGAUGCGUAGCCGACCUGAGAGGGUGGCCGGCCACACUGGGACUGAGACACGGCCCAGACUCCUACAGGAGGCAGCAGUAGGGAAUUUUCCGCAAUGGGCGAAAGCCUGACGGAGCAACGCCGCGUGAGCGAGGACGGCCUUCGGGUUGUAAAGCUCUGUUCUUCGGGAAGAACGGCGGGAGAGUGAACAGCUCUCUCGUUUGACGGUACCGAAGGAGAAAGCCCCGGCUAACUACGUGCCAGCAGCCGCGGUAAUACGUAGGGGGCGAGCGUUGUCCGGAAUUAUUGGGCGUAAAGCGCGCGCAGGCGGCCGAUUAAGUCAGGUGUGAAAGGCUGCGGCUCAACCGCAGAGUUGCAUCUGAAACUGGUCGGCUUGAGUGCAGGAGAGGGGAGCGGAAUUCCCGGUGUAGCGGUGGAAUGCGUAGAGAUCGGGAGGAACACCAGUGGCGAAGGCGGCUCUCUGGCCUGUAACUGACGCUGAGGCGCG